GCCCGAAUGGCCAAAUGGUAAGGCGUUUCACUCGUACCAUCCGUUAUGAAAAGAUUCUUGGUUCGAUUCCGAGUUUGGGCA